UGAUUUUCUGUUCUAUUGCAUUAUUCGCAUAUUUACUGAUUUCAGCAAGGCAACAUGGCAGCUCCUUAGUUACGAAAUGUCAACUUUGGAUUUGACGGUAGCUUACGAGAAAAACAUGUAAAUCAAAAUGACAAUUGUUGGUUUUGAGAAUGAAACAGAUUUUUAUUUUAGCGGUUGUUCACGAAAUAAUCCAUGCAAGCUACGGAUUUAUUAGAAUGUUUGAGCUUUAUCUAACAGGGAGUAAAACAGAACAGCCACACACACAGCUUUUCCCACCCUCGCUUCAGUUUUUUAAUGAUCGUAUUUGUCCUAUUAGAAUCGAAAUAAUUC
rnacentral:lncRNA from 1 species